AAACCCGAUGGAGGCAAGUCCAAGUUCUACCUGUUCGACCGGUUUCUUUCUUUACCAGCCUGCGCUGAGCUGCAAACGGAGAGGGAGAAGCGGUAGACGGAGAAAAAAAAGAACUUUGGCGAGAACGAAAUGGCCUUAAAAGUGGAGGUAUGUGAAGGCAAACCAAUGAAGAAGGGGCCAUUAGCCAAGAAAUGGAAUCUAGCAGGAAGAGAGAAUCUCAGGACUGGACAACUGAACAGCCAAGUAUAAGAGAUGUAAGUAGAGGUAAGCUAGUGACAUUGGUACUACACGAGGUAAACUAUAGAAACUAACUGUAAAAUGAAGAAGCUGAUUGGUUAUGAGCGUAUAAAAGCACUAGCUUGUUGCUUACAAUGCACUUCCAUAUAAACUGCCAGUGACCACGUGAUUUGCUACACCAAGUGACUAUCAGGUUAGGCUUACUUUUGUCUCUGGAAUCACUUCAAAGAUAGGCGAGUGAUGUGCUCUGGGAAGCAUUUCUGUACAUGUGUGGCCUUCCUGUUAUCUUUAACCGGUCCGGCCUUUUUUCUGAGCUCUCAUUAACGUUUUCUUUCGGCCACAGAAAUUCCUUUAACUGGAAAAUUUUGUUCGUCACGCCAUCCUGUAAACUCACAACACUGCAGUGCUUCGUAGAGGUUGAUCUUUAUGUAGCUUUAUGUAGAUGCCACAUAAACUAUCAAACCAGUAUACCAAAGGCAUUUUGGUUGUUCUAACGCUUAAUCAAAAAGGGAAUGACUUGACCCUGCAUUUCUGCUGUACGUUUGCAGUUGCAGUCACAUAAGCUGUUUACAACGGAAAGUAGGCAUACCUCAUAAAUUGGACAUUGUAUACAAUGAACUCUGCAUGAUACACGGUUGUCAUACACCAGGGAAGCAUUUACAUAUUGACUUCUGGCUUUUUCAUAUUUUCCUGUGUUUGUUAACCUAGUGCAUCACUACCUAACGUGUAUUAAGUAAACCAGAAGCUAAUGGUACUUGGUUGUAUUUUCUGUGACUUCCAAUGUUAACCCAAAGUUUAAUCAGACACUAAUACCCCCUACGCUAGUUACCUAACAUAUAGUUGUUCAAGUUAGGCAGUAGUUCUCCAAACCUAGGCUUUGAAGACAUUCCUCCCAAGGCAGCAACAUUAUAUACCAUUGCCAUCUUGUGGACAGAAUCAAUACUGCAGUACAGCACAUAUCCCAAAAAAUGCACGGAACAUACACCUGGAUACAUACCUCUGCAUAAGUAAAUGCCAACUCCAGCAGCCUAUCUGUGAUGAAUGACCAAAACCUAUUCAUUAAAUACAGAUCUGAAACUGCAGGGACCCUGUGAAUCUCAUCCAUCAGUCACUGUACCGUCAGAAAGCAUAACCGGCAAUUUUUUGUGUUUUAGAUAUAAAAUGUUGUGCCGAUUGUGUAUUCAUGCCCAGGCCUUUCUAGUAGAUAUGCCUGAUGUCAAAAGACAACAAGCUGAAGUAUUAGUCAAGACAGCUACCAUUAUACCUUUUCAUCACUCAUAGGCCAAUGUAAGCUUACCUGAUGCCCCAAUUGCAGGAUGGGCAUGGAGCAAUUUAGUUACAAUAUGCAACCAUUCAAAGAACAAGAGCUACACAAAAUAAAGGGCAUCACAAGGUCAGUUUAGUGCUUUUUUAUUAGAGAUCGGGGACAAUACAAAACAUCCAACCACGCAGCAAAUAGCCUUCACUCCAUACACACACUACCUCAAUACCUUUAUCAUUCCAUUCUACAGGCUUUUCCAAAAGACAUUAUUAACUGGUUAAUGAACUAAGUUUAUCCUUAAUGUGCCAAGGUUGGUUUUGGUCUCAAAAUA